rnacentral:rRNA from 1 species
GUGUCAGCAGCCGCGGUAAGACAGAGGGUGCAAACGUUGUUCGGAAUUACUGGGCGUAAAGCGCGUGUAGGCGGUCUAGCAAGUCGGAUGUGAAAGCCCUUGGCUCAACUGAGGAAGUGCAUUCGAAACUGCGAGACUUGAGUCCCGGAGAGGAUGGUGGAAUUCUCGGUGUAGAGGUGAAAUUCGUAGAUAUCGAGAGGAACACCGGUGGCGAAGGCGGCCAUCUGGACGGUGACUGACGCUGAGACGCGAAAGCAUGGGGAGCAAACAGGAUUAGAAACCCUAGUAGUCC